rnacentral:lncRNA from 1 species
AAAAAAUUUUGUCGCGAGAGAAAAACUUAACGUCCAUCAAACUUUAGCUACCUCAAAUAUGGCUCAAUUACACCACAAAUUUAGAAUUUAUAAACUCAAUGCUUAAAAAUACAACAAAAAAGAUAACAAAAACUACGAACAGUAUGUGAAGUAAAAAGAGUACCAAAUCAAUGGCUUGCUUCAUUAGUUGCUUUCUCGAGUUGAGAUUGAAGGCGGUGGUCCCAUUUCUGCAGUUGUUUCAUUUUCUGGAGUUGCUUCAGUCCUCUUGGCCCCUUGAAUCCCUGCUAAAACUCCGGGUGUAGACACUUCUGUUGCGGCCACAAUGAAAAAUAUCUCGUCAUCUUUUAUUUCUACAAAAUGAAAUGAAAUUGAUAUUAACAGUGGCAACAACAACAUUCACAUUCGAAUACAACUCAAGUGAAAUUGAAUGUUUGACAGCAGCAAUGAACCAUAAGCAGUACUGUAGUACAGUAGUAGCAAAUCCAAACAUUACAGCAGUCUAGCAGAUAAAAAAUGUUCAGAAAACAGCAAGUUAUAGUCUAGGUGUGCCCAGCCACUUACACAUCCGGCAGCAGAGAGCAGUCCUGCGCGUGGCGGAGAGCAGGAGCCAGCAGAUCGGGCGAGACGGCGAGCUGGGCUGCGCGAGCGGCGGAGUAGGGCAGCAGGCGAGCAAGGGACGGCCGGACGGCGGGACGGGCGACGGCGCGAGCAGCGGAGCAGGCCAGGCGGAUGAGCGGCGGAGUCACCAGCGGUCGUCACGAGCAGCGUAGGCCGGAGGGCACGGGCGAGCGGCGGAUUCAUCGGCGG